AACUCUCAACAACGGAUAUCUUGGCUCUCGCAACGAUGAAGAACGCAGCGAAAUGCGAUACGUAGUGUGAAUUGCAGAAUUCCGUGAAACAUCGAAUCUUUGAACGCACAUUGCCGGUCGAGUCUUCGGAUGAGACCACAUCUGCCUCAGCGUCG
rnacentral:rRNA from 1 species